CCGAGAGCUGAGAGCAGCCACCUGGAGGCGAUUCAGGCGGCCGCGCCGGCGGCUGCGGGGACCUCGCGCCUGGCCACGCCCUCUUCCGCCUGCGGCAAGAAGUCAGGGCGGGGCAAGGCCUGCGUGCGUGUGACGUGACUCUAUUCCCGCUGACGUCAGCCUGCACGCGGCGGACACAACACCGGAGGCCACGCCCAUCCCACCAGCGGGGCGGAGUCCCACUGCAGCUCACGUUAUGGGUGAGGAUGCUGAGGCCCAGGGCAGGAGGUGAGGAUGCAUACUAGUAAAACAAGAUCCCUGAUUUCA